UACGAAGGGUGCAAGCGUUACUCGGAAUUACUGGGCGUAAAGCGUGCGUAGGUGGUGCGUUAAGUCUGUCGUGAAAGCCCCGGGCUCAACCUGGGAAUGGCGAUGGAUACUGGCGCGCUAGAGUGUGUCAGAGGAUGGUGGAAUUUCCGGUGUAGCGGUGAAAUGCGUAGAGAUCGGAAGGAACAUCAGUGGCGAAGGCGGCCAUCUGGGACAACACUGACGCUGAAGCACGAAAGCGUGGGGAGCAAACAGG
rnacentral:rRNA from 1 species